rnacentral:rRNA from 1 species
AAUGAACGCUGGCGGCAUGCCUAACACAUGCAAGUCGAACGAGACCUCCUGGUCUACUGGCGCACGCGUGCGUAACGCGUGGGAACCUUCGCUUAGGGUCGGAAUAACUCCCCGAAAGGGGUGCUAAUACCGGAUAAUAUCUUCGGACACAAGAUCUAUCACCUUUGGAUGAUCCCGCGUUGGAGGAGCCUGUUGGUAGGGUAAAAGUAUACCAGCGCUACGAUCCAUAGAUGGUCUGAGAGGAUGAUCCGCAACACUGGGAGUGGGACGCGGCAGAGAAUCCUACGGGAGGGAGCAGUGGGGGAUAGUGCAAAACGGGCGAGAGGAUGAUCCAGCUAUGACGGGUGAGUGAUGAAGGCCGUAGGGUUGUAAAGCUCUUUUACCCGGGAUGAUAAUGACAGUACCGGGAGAAUAAGCUCCGGCUAACUACGUG